rnacentral:piRNA from 1 species
UAGAAUUGCAGCUCUACAUUUUGUGGAGGUU